UUCAAACUUGCCCCUAACCUUCAAAGACCCCAGGUCUUUCACCAGGUAGCAGCGGCCUGAUUGGGGACCCCAUCAGGAUGCCUGGAUUCAUGAUAGAGAGAUCAGCAGGAUUCGUGGUGGGGGUACUGGAGGGGGGGACUAAGGAGAGGACUGAAGAGUUAGCACUGGCUCGGCUUUCUGGCUGUGGCAAAUGGCCCGCUGGAGCCCCUCAGUGUGCAGAAGCUGAAGCAGAAGUCCAGGAAGAAAUGCAUCUGUGGGGAGCGUAGGUGACCUAGCAACCCGAGGGUGGCGAGGGUGGUUUGGAGGCGGUGAGCACUGGCCUGGUCCAGCCGGAGCCUGGAAGAUGCUGAGGCCUGUCUGCCACUGGGUGUCAGGGAGCAGAGCAGCGCGGCUGGUAAGGGAAUCUCUCUGACCCUAAGGAGCCUGGGCUACCAAGUCCCCACGCUGUCCUGACGAGCAGAUGAGAGAAGAAACUGAUACCCAUCUUGCCCCCACCCCCACCUGCCUCAAGGCCUCAGCUAGGCCGUAAUCACUCUUCCCCCAACCCUGGUUCUUACAGUUGGGCCAAGAAUCUAUGCCUCUCCCCAUCCAUUCCAAUACAACCCACCCAGCUGCACACCCACGGAGGGUCCCUUCCCCAGCAAGAGCACCGGAGCGGGCCUGGGGGGUCCUAGCUCUCCAAGAGGGCGGAGCAUGAGAGCCAAAACAUGAUGCCGGAUCCUCUGGAGCUGGAGUCAAGAAUGGCUGUGAGUCACCACAUGGAUACUGGGAGUUGAACCUGGGUCCUCUGGAAGAGCAACAGUGCCCUUAACCAUUGAGCAAUUUCUCCAGCCCCAUAACACCCCUCCUUUCUUUAAAAGAAAAAAAAAAUCAGUCCUAAGCACAUAGACACAAAGCUGUUACAUAGAGAAAAUGUACGAGGGGAGAGAAGAGGAUGGUAGACAAACAGUGACCUGAAAUGUCAGUCACAGACAUAGGGGGAUAAGGACUAAGGAACAAGAAGAUGGACAGAGGGGGUGGAGGAGAGACAUCUAUCAUUAUCAGAGAGAGAUAAUGAUAUCACUUAAGUCUGUGUAUUCAACUCAGCUGUGGCUGAAUUCAGACUAAAUUCUGUACUUCCUUUUAGCCAGUCUGAAAGCUAAACAUCUUCAUUUGCAGUCUGAGCUACCCAGUACAACAGCUCUCUAUCUCCCUCACAGUAACCGAUCUUCGUGAAACAUAAAAUUGGCAUAAUUUAUGUGUCAAAUGCCAUGCUAAGUGUUUUUCAUAUCUCAAGAAAAAUAAAUCCUCCAAACAUUUCUCCAAAGGUGUGGGGUGGGUCAAGAUGGCUGCAAAUCCUUUGCCACUCCUCCCACUGCUAGACAGUCUACUUCCCCUCUGUAAAUGUUGCCUGACUCUGUAACCUGCUCCAGCCAAGAGAUAGUGACAGUGAUACUAUGUAGCUUCCAUGGCUGGACUCUCAGAAGGCAAAGAAACCUGCCCGAGGCUUGA